AAAGAAACCUUCCAAAUGCACUUGGGAGAACCCUAAUUUGGAAUCUCCUGUCACGAACUGCUCGCCACUGCCACCUCGUACAGCGGUCGAGAACGAGAAGGCUGCCCCACGGCUGCUUUCUACCACCUUGGAACUGCACCAUAAACUCACAGAAAGGCGGGAGGACAGCGACCACACUGACGUGGAAUUGGAAAGGAGUGUUCGGCCAAAUGCAGCAGUUUCUGAGUUUGGGUGAUUCGUUGGCAGAAUUGAAGUUGCUGAUGGAGAGUUUUCACAGUAAUGAGAAUUUUGUUUCAUUUCAAAUAGUUUAGCGAAUUCUUUUUGAUAAUUGAAGCACAAGAAGGGGUCUUCUGAGAUGUUUUUACUUAAGCAUCACAUCAUGAAUUCUUGGUGCAUUGGAAUUAAUUUUAGUCAUUAAUUCAUUAUCACUGGAUAUAGAAUCAGAAUAAGAAAGAUCAGUAGGAGUAACGGAUAAUAGGAAGGGGAUGCUUACUUUCUAUUCUCUUUCCUGCUGUAUAGCUCAACCCACAAAAGGCUUACAAUCUUCACCUUCUCUGCCUUUCUUUCCUGGAAACCCUAGAAAAAGAGGAUUCCCUUCUAAGGUACUUUUGAGAAUCUUUACAGUUCAUUCUGGUUCCACUGGAAAUUCGAGUGGUGAAAACCAAAGCCAAAGAAUUAAUUAUUCUGGUAUGAGACUAGAGGAGACUGUACAGGCCAAGUUAGGAAAGUUGAGGCUUGAUUCUUGGAUCUCUUCUCGCAUUUCUGGCAUCAGUAGAGCUCGCAUCCAGUCAAGUAUUAAAUCAAGGCUGGUUUCUGUCAAUGGCAGAGUUGUCGAUAAGGUCAAUUUGCUCUACGCUUGAUGCUAUUCCACUCUCUCUUGAUUUUCAUAUUGUUGUUAGCAUUAGGUUGUUUUGGUUGUUUUGAGGACGGUCAGACUGCCAAUUUAUUCUUUAUUAAUUUCUAAGCCUUGAUGCCAUAUUCAUUGAGCUGUUCAAUUUUAUGUGUUGCAACUGCUUUGACAAUAUGCUUCUAUAAUCUGAUAUUUAAAUUAGAAAUUCGACAAUGCGCUUCUAUAAUCUGAUAUUUACAUUAGAUAUUCAACUUCAUUUGUUAACACAAGUAAAUUAUAGUUGAAUUUUAAUUUCUUUUAAUCUUCUGAAUUAUUUUGGGUAAAAGACUCAUGCCUUAGUUGUUUCUUGUUAUGCACACAAUUUGUGUCCAGUUCUUGGUGAAUGCAGAUUUUUGAGUUUCACUCAUGCUUUAGCAGGUUUCACACAAUGUCAAGGAUGGGGAUAAGGUCUCCUGCACAAUUUCAGAGUUGCAACCCUUGAGGGCUGAACCUGAGGACAUACCUUUGGAUAUAGUCUAUGAAGAUGAGCAUUUACUAGUUGUCAAUAAGCCUCCGCACAUGGUUGUUCAUCCAGCACCUGGGAAUCCUAGUGGCACACUUGUAAAUGGCAUACUUCAUCAUUGCAGUCUUCCAACAGUUGCAACUUCAAGCUUGGAAGUUCUUUCAGACAUGGAAGAUAUUUCUGUUGAUGAAGGGUCACAUUCUACCCUAUGUGGCGCAUCUGUUCGCCCAGGGAUAGUUCACAGGUUGGACAAAGGCACUAGUGGAUUGCUUGUAGUUGCUAAGGAUGAACAUGCUCAUGCCCAUUUGUCUGAACAAUUCCAGCAACACACUAUCCAGAGGAUAUACGUUAGUCUUACUUCUGGUGUGCCCUCUGCAUCAAUGGGACGUAUUGACAUCCCUAUUGGUCGUGAUGUUAAUAACAGAAUUCGUAUGACUGCUAUACCUGGACCAAUUAAGCAGGGACAGGCACGUCAUGCUGCUAGUAUAAAGUAAUUGAAAUACUUGCUGGUGGCGGUUCAGCAUUGGUUGAGUGGAGGUUAGAAACUGGACGUACUCAUCAGGUAUUUGUAAUCUAUAAGUAUAGAUCACAAUGAUAGUUGGACAUUAUAUUCAACACAUUCUAUCGGUGAAUAAAAGCAUCAUCAAAUAAGAAAAAUGAAUUUGAAGUACAAUAAGGAGAGAGUUAAUUCUGUUAAUAGCCAAAUAAUCUAAUUCUAAAAAAAUGGUACUUUACCCAUUUUAAUAUCUAUUUUUCUUUUUGAAAACAUGACUCUCAGCAGCCUUUAUCAUUAGUAUUUUUCCAUGUUCUUGUUCUCUUUGUAGGUUGCAUGUGAUAUUGCUCCAUGUUUUGGGGCUUAUUCAUUCAGUUAUAAUUGUUGCUUAUAUGAAAGUGAUGUGUUUCUGAGAAAAAAUUGGAGCUAUUGCUUGCAUCUCUGUUGCUUUGUUCAGGAAGCAGUGAAAGUGGGGCAAGGGAAAGAAAAAGAGGAGAAAAUGUGAAAAUAUUCCCACUUUCUCUUGGUUGGGAAAGUGGUGAAAUUUGAAGAAGAGAAAAAUGAUGGAAAACUUUGUCCCUUGGCAUACCAAACCUCCCAUCCGAAUUUGGAGAGGAAAUAGGGUGACAAUUUCGGAAUUUACUAUUUUAUUCUUAUAAUUAAUUCUUUCUAGGAAAAAGCAAACGCCAAUAAAAAAAAUUUUUCUUCUUAUUUCUCUCCCCUUUUUUCUUCUUUAUUUCCAAAACAAGAGGAGAGAAUUAUUUUCUUCCACAUCACUCUUUAUCUUUCCAUUUUCCUCCCUCCUUUUUUUUGCCCUCUUGCAUUUUUUCCCAAGAAAAGGGUGAGUUACUGAAAUGUGUAUCCUAUUGAUAUUGCUCUUUCUAAGCUUUAGAAAUCCCCCUGCCAUUUGAUUCCUGAAUGAUGGUUAUUUUUGUCACAAGUCUUACAGAUAUAUCCUUUGGUGAACCCAUAUGAUUAAUUAUAAUUUCUAAGGCCCGUCAUGUAUUCAGAAACAUAUUUUACAUGUGAUCAUAUGGGGUAGUCUUUAUGCAAUGGUUAGGUUGCUCCAUUAUGACUUGGUAAAGCAUGUUCAUAUCACAGAAAAAACCUACUUGCACUGCAACUAAAGGCUGUAUACAAGGGAUUCCUCUUAUCUAAGAUGUGAUUACAAUAUAAAUAUAUUCCAAAGCAAUUAGGUAGUUCCGGACUCCCUAAAUUGUUGACCUUGCGGUGGCGGCCUGCACAACUAUCAUUUCCAUAUGGUUGAUUAAGAGUUCUAAUCUCAUAUGGUUUUUAUCCUCUUACCUUAUAUUACUUCUUCGUAGCAGAUUCGUGCACAUGCAAAGUAUAUUGGAAUUCCUCUAUUAGGUGAUGAAGUUUAUGGAGGCACCAAAAGUUUGGCUUUGUCACGGCUUCGACCCAGAAUUCCCCCUAGCUGUCUCAGUCAACUUUCAUUAUUGCUGUCAGGAUUAGAGAGGCCUUGUCUACAUGCUUUGGCUCUAGGGUUAGGCCAUUAGAUGUUAAAGCUUGAUCUCAUUAUUUGCUGCUUCUUCAAAAAUGUCAUUUGGUGAUGCAGAAUAGUUUUCUCUGCCCUUUAUUUUGUAGGUUCACGCAUCCACACACAGGGGAAGAAAUAAACUUUUCUCGUCCACCUCCUCCAGAUUUUACUGGGAUCUUGAGCCAGCUUCGUAAAAUGGGCAUGGAAAAGGUGUUCCCUCUAAAAUACUAUUCUCUGAUCAAGCAUUAGUUUUUAUAUGUAUAGUUGCUGUUUAUCUGUGUUCAUGACAUUUGCAGUUCUCCAAAUUCAUCUUAAAACCUGGGUGGCAAUUUAUGCAGGUUUAAUCAGUUGAAGUUUUCCUGAUGGGCAGCCCAAUUAAGAUAAUUAUAAACUGUUCAAUUUUUUUUCUGAAACACUGGCCUGUGAGAACUCAGUUCUUUAUGCUAGAUCGCAAAUGGAAGACAGUAUACAAACAUUGAAAAAUACAGAGCAAGUGGGUAACUGUUGCUGGGGUGCAAGAUUCUGGCAUGUUAUGGAAGGCAAUUCCAAUUUCCACUUUGAUUUUGUUGUCAGUAAUUGCAUUUCUCUUCAUCAACCAUAGAAGACUUAAAGUCUCUUUGUAACCUUGGUAUGUUGGAGUCACACGUCGCUUUUUAACCAAAAAGGUCUGCAAGCUUGACUGUCUGAGAGAGAGAGAUUACCCAUUUUUAUACGUCUGUUGAUGAAAUUAGUUGGUCAUUGGGAAAAAAAGUAGAUCAAGUAUAAAAAGUGUUAUCAGAAAGAUUUUGAUUUAAUAUAUAUCAUUUUUGUUUAUUGCAUUUAUCUCAAAAAUAAGUAUUCCAAG
rnacentral:misc_RNA from 1 species